AACGAACGCUGGCGGCAUGCCUAACACAUGCAAGUCGAACGAGACCUUCGGGUCUAGUGGCGCACGGGUGCGUAACGCGAGGGAACCUGCCCUUAGGGUCGGCAUAACUCCCCGAAAGGGGUGCUAAUACCGGAUAAUGUCUUCGACCCAAAGAUUUAUCGCCUUUGGAUGGGCCCGCGUUGAAUUAGCUAGUUGGUAGGGUAAAAGCCUACCAAGGGGACGAUCCAUAGCUGGUCUGAGAGGAUGAUCAGCCACACUGGGACUGAGACACGGCCCAGACUCCUACGCGAUGCAGCAGUGGGGAACAGUGGACAACGGGCGAAAGCCUGAUCCAGCAAUGCUGCGUGAGUGAUGAAGGCAUUAGGGUUGUAAAGCUCUUUUACCCGGGAUGAUAAUGACAGUACCGGGAGAAUAAGCUCCGGCUAACUCCGUG
rnacentral:rRNA from 1 species